rnacentral:rRNA from 1 species
GACGAACGCUGGCGGCGUGCCUAAUACAUGCAAGUCGAGCGGACAGAAGGGAGCUUGCUCCCGGAUGUUAGCGGCGGACGGGUGAGUAACACGUGGGUAACCUGCCUGUAAGACUGGGAUAACUCCGGGAAACCGGAGCUAAUACCGGAUAGUUCCUUGAACCGCAUGGUUCAAGGAUGAAAGACGGUUUCGGCUGUCACUUACAGAUGGACCCGCGGCGCAUUAGCUAGUUGGUGGGGUAAUGGCUCACCAAGGCGACGAUGCGUAGCCGACCUGAGAGGGUGAUCGGCCACACUGGGACUGAGACACGGCCCAGACUCCUACGGGAGGCAGCAGUAGGGAAUCUUCCGCAAUGGACGAAAGUCUGACGGAGCAACGCCGCGUGAGUGAUGAAGGUUUUCGGAUCGUAAAGCUCUGUUGUUAGGGAAGAACAAGUGCGAGAGUAACUGCUCGCACCUUGACGGUACCUAACCAGAAAGCCACGGCUAACUACGUGCCAGCAGCCGCGGUAAUACGUAGGUGGCAAGCGUUGUCCGGAAUUAUUGGGCGUAAAGGGCUCGCAGGCGGUUUCUUAAGUCUGAUGUGAAAGCCCCCGGCUCAACCGGGGAGGGUCAUUGGAAACUGGGAAACUUGAGUGCAGAAGAGGAGAGUGGAAUUCCACGUGUAGCGGUGAAAUGCGUAGAGAUGUGGAGGAACACCAGUGGCGAAGGCGACUCUCUGGUCUGUAACUGACGCUGAGGAGCGAAAGCGUGGGGAGCGAACAGGAUUAGAUACCCUGGUAGUCCACGCCGUAAACGAUGAGUGCUAAGUGUUAGGGGGUUUCCGCCCCUUAGUGCUGCAGCUAACGCAUUAAGCACUCCGCCUGGGGAGUACGGUCGCAAGACUGAAACUCAAAGGAAUUGACGGGGGCCCGCACAAGCGGUGGAGCAUGUGGUUUAAUUCGAAGCAACGCGAAGAACCUUACCAGGUCUUGACAUCCUCUGACAACCCUAGAGAUAGGGCUUUCCCUUCGGGGACAGAGUGACAGGUGGUGCAUGGUUGUCGUCAGCUCGUGUCGUGAGAUGUUGGGUUAAGUCCCGCAACGAGCGCAACCCUUGAUCUUAGUUGCCAGCAUUCAGUUGGGCACUCUAAGGUGACUGCCGGUGACAAACCGGAGGAAGGUGGGGAUGACGUCAAAUCAUCAUGCCCCUUAUGACCUGGGCUACACACGUGCUACAAUGGACAGAACAAAGGGCUGCAAGACCGCAAGGUUUAGCCAAUCCCAUAAAUCUGUUCUCAGUUCGGAUCGCAGUCUGCAACUCGACUGCGUGAAGCUGGAAUCGCUAGUAAUCGCGGAUCAGCAUGCCGCGGUGAAUACGUU